CAAAGUUCAACGGGAAAAAGACCGAAAACUACUAUGCUUUUCAAGCAGAGGUCAGAGCGACUCAUGGCGACUCAUGUCGGCUUGGCUACCCUAUGUGGAGUCUCGCUACUAGUGCUUAUCUACAUAUUUCCUCCAGACCCGCAUAUAAAACAAGCCUCGAGGAACAAAUCUGCUGGAAUCACAUUAGAUAUCAAGGCGCAUUUGGCAGGGGCGGACUUACUUAAAGAACACUGUAGAAAAAGUGUUGGACGCAAGGAGGCACCUUUAUCGGAAGUCCUAAAAAGCCUCAUCGUUAUCGAUAAAUACAAAGUGCUGUAUUGCCGAACAGGUAAAACAGGCAGCUGGACCACAAUGCAGCUCUUGUAUAACUUGGAAUUAGGCACCAAUAUGAGUCGCCGCGAGGUGAGGAAGUUUGCUAGAGAGAAGCGGCUACCAAUUCUUUCAGAUUUUUCUGAGGAGGAUAUCUGGCUUCGUCUUGCUACGUACAAGAAGUUUCUUGUAGCUAGGAAUCCA